AGUGAACGCUGGCGGCAGGCCUAAUACAUGCAAGUCGAACGGCAGCACAGCAGAGCUUGCUCUGUGGGUGGCGAGUGGCGGACGGGUGAGGAAUACGUGGGAAUCUGCCCAGUCGUGGGGAUAACGUAGGGAAACUUACGCUAAUACCGCAUGUGCCCUUCGGGGGAAAGCCGGGGACCUUCGGGCCUGGCGCGAUUGGAUGAGCCCACGUCGGAUUAGCUAGUUGGCGGGUAAAGGCCCACCAAGGCGACGAUCCGUAGCUGGUCUGAGAGGAUGAUCAGCCACACUGGAACUGAGACACGGUCCAGACUCCUACGGGAGGCAGCAGUAGGGAAUAUUGGACAAUGGGCGCAAGCCUGAUCCAGCCAUGCCGCGUGAGUGAAGAAGGCCCUCGGGUUGUAAAGCUCUUUUGUCCGGAAAGAAAAGCGCCGGGUUAAUACCCUGGUGUCCUGACGGUACCGGAAGAAUAAGCACCGGCUAACUUCGUGCCAGCAGCCGCGGUAAU
rnacentral:rRNA from 1 species